rfam:Oryza sativa Japonica Group DNA, chromosome 11, cultivar: Nipponbare, complete sequence.
AACCGCGGGUUCCCGUGCCAACGUUUGACUGUCCGUCUUAUAUGAAUUUUUUUUAUAAUUAGUAUUUUCAUUGUUGUUAGAUGAUAAAACAUGAUUAAUACUUUAUACGUGACUUGUCUUUUUAAUUUUUUUCAUAAUUUUUUCAAAUAAGACGAACGGUCAAACGUUGGACACGGAAACCAGGGUUUGUCUUUUU